rnacentral:rRNA from 1 species
CAGUAGCCGCGGGAAUACAGAGGGUGCGAGCGUUAAUCGGAUUUACUGGGCGUAAAGCGUGCGUAGGCGGCUUUUUAAGUCGGAUGUGAAAUCCCUGAGCUUAACUUAGGAAUUGCAUUCGAUACUGGGAAGCUAGAGUAUGGGAGAGGAUGGUAGAAUUCCAGGUGUAGCGGUGAAAUGCGUAGAGAUCUGGAGGAAUACCGAUGGCGAAGGCAGCCAUCUGGCCUAAUACUGACGCUGAGGUGCGAAAGCGUGGGGAGCAAACAGGAUUAGAUACCCCUGUAGUCCCUGUUUCUUAUAC